AAUCUACAAUGAUUGAGGGUAUCUACCUACACAAAAAAGCCGUAGGAAAAGCAGGAAAUCGUAGUUACUGUAAAUCUCUGAUCAGCUGGAAUACUCCAGGAACUUCAUAAUUAUAACUCGUUUCCUCAUCUUGAAUUAGGUAUAUGGGAUUGUGGAACGGGUAGACUAAAAUCACGGCAUUAUGGUAAAACAAACUAAAAUUGUGAAUACGGUGAUGAAACGGUAACGUGUUGAAGCGGCUAACAUUGCUAACACUUGUUUUAAAUAAAUAAAAAAAGGUGCGUGUACUUAUGUACGCGCGUAAGAAGUUAUACUUUAUUUUUAUUAAAGUUACUUCUUUUUUUAUUUUAAUCAAUUUGAAAAACAACAUCCUCAAACACGAAUAUUGGACAUCCCUUUUGUUGACAUUGUAUAAAUUCGAUAAUUCUCGGUACGGUUCGGAAAGUUCACCUGCGGCUAUAUUCAGACUCGCCAAGUUACGUCGGUCGUAUUGUAAUGAGAGAUUUAGUGGGCAUUAGUGGGCAACUUCAUUUCUGUUAAUUUUGUGUCACGGUGCGCGCGCAUCGUAAAAUUUCACUCUCAUCAAUUUUUAAUAACGCGCCUAAAGAAGUAUAACUUCAAGAAAUAAUCGAAGUUGUGUUUAUUUAUGGUAUUGUGGCACAAAUUAAUUCGGGAUUUAUAGGGAGACUUAUCAAAGUUAGCAACCCAGCACGAUGAAGCUAAAUCUAAUAAUAACAUUUGAACAAUCGACACAGUGUUCUUUACAUUAUCACUUAGUUACAAAUGUUAUCAGCUAAAUUGUAGUAUGUGAUAACCUCUGUUUGAAUGACUGCUCGCUCCUACACAUAAAAUUAUAACGAUUAUGGUUUUUGUGUAGCCUGUAUGUACAUAAUUUUUCUUAAAGCUAACAGUAAUUAUGUCAUGUUGAUCAUAGAAGAAGAAAAAACCAAUAAGUUUUAAUGUUAAUUAUAUUUAAAAUUUCAUUUUUCAUAUCUCUGUGAAUUCAAUACCAGUAACAAUAAGAAUGAUUAAUAAAUAAUGUUAUACUUGAUAAA